ACUAUUCCUCCCCGCCCCCAACGACCAAGAGCCCCGACCCCGAGCCCUCGACGCCAUCUCCUUCUCCUCCACCUCCGCCCUCAUAGACUCUCCCUUUCCACUGUUCUACACCUUUCUCCCUUGCUCUCUAUUACUUCUUCCUCCAUUCCAUCAACCGACGGUCGUGCAAUUACCUCGUUGCUGCAAGUUCAUCGCUGGGUGAAUAGCCUUUUCCAGGUGUCAAGCAUGCUGUAGCUGACCUAUGCAGUGAACAUGACCAUCAAAGGGUCACUGAAUAAAAGAAGCUGUCGAGGUCUGGAUUGUUUUGGUAACUAAGUUCUCGUAGAGGCUCAAGAAGACGGCUUACAUGCAAAAUUUGGAGACUGUUGGGAGUUCAAGUCUUUAAGAAAUUACAGCUCAAUCUUGAUAGCUUGUUAAGGUGAUUAUGGUUCUUUCUCUGUCCUAAUAUGCCUGUGUGAAAAUAGUGGGGUUUUUUAUUAGGUUGCUCCAUUCUUAGAUUGUUAUUUUCACUUUGUCCAGUCGUUUGGUUUUCCUUCAUCCGAUUGUGAGUUUUCAGCCAUCUCUACUGUGAGUUUUCAGCCAUCAUUUAAUGCACCUGAAGCAAAUUUGUAAAAUUUUCCAUGGUUUUUCAAACUGUCUUUUUAACAAGUCAUGGUUGUUAGAUUUCUGUAACGUCUGGCAUCUUGCAUACAUCUAUCUAAUUGGAUUUCAGCUGGGGCUCUUCUCUUUUGGCCAAUAUAAUUUUGAGAAUUUUUGGGCUUGUAGUUUCUCUUUGUGUGUCGUUUUUGUCUUGUAGUUACCCUUGAUCCGGCGGCGGUUGAUGAACCCCAGGCCCAAUCGGUUAGAGACCGGCGAUUCCAACGGAUUGGAGCCGGACAUCCUGCUGCUGGAGGGUGAUUUUGGGUGACUGAAACACUAAUGCUUCUUCUUCCUCUUCGAAGUUUCAAUCCAGGAAAACCCCACACGGACAGUGAAAAAGACAGAGGGAGAGAUGACCCCGCCCAAAAAAAAAAAAAAAAACAAGACGAGACUCUCAGAAGAAAAAUCUUGCAAGGAAAAAACAGAGGAAACAGAAAUCUUGAUUUACUGAUUCAAGAAACAAAAAUAAAGAAUAAAAAAGAUCGGACCUUCCA